UAUGGCCAUAUUAUGUUGAUACACUGGUUCUUGUAUGAUCAACAAAGUUAAGCAAUGUUGAACCUAGUCACUAACUAGAUGGGUGACCACUUGGGAAUACCAGGUGCUGUAAG